UCAACAAGCCAUUAGACUUUCUUAUCCCUCUCUUCACCCGUUGGCUUCCUCAAGAAGCUAAGUGGAUUCCUCUUUCUUCCCCCACACGUCGGAUCCAAGGAAAAGAGAAACACAAUCCUCUCAUUUUCCCUUGCACCACCGACGGCCUCGAAGACAAAAACCAGUAAAUUUCUUCCCCACCUCUCUUCAUCCAUCGAUUCCAAGGCACCCGAAGGAGAGAAAAUCUUCUCAAGUGUUCCUUCACACGAGAAACCACUCGGUUCUUCCCCAACCGUGCGACCUCUUCCUCUUCUCAAGCCGAUUCUUCCAUUUCAUAAACCCAAGUCUCCCACCGAAAAUCUCCAAGGGAAAUCAACCUCGUAUGAAUGAUGAGGUUGUGGAGCUAGGCAUUGCUGAGGAAGGAAAGGCUGAUGCUUAGAAUUUCCUGUCGUUCGGUUUGAUAAUAAUGGUUAUGUUUUAUAUUUUAUGAUGGGUCCCAUGUUGGGACGUUUUUUUGGUUUGACUUUAAGACAAUAUGUCCUUGGGCAUGAUGUAGUUACUGUGGUGGGAUGGUGGUAAUGGUGUAACUUCUAUAGUGGGGUGAUGGUAACCCCACAUAAGAAGGUUAAAUGUCUUUUGGGUGUGUUGUAGGGAUGGAGUCCCCUUUUUAUUGGAACUAGCGAUUUUUAAAUGAAUGAAUAGUGGACUCUGAGAGUCCUUUGGGUAAUAUGUUGAACA